CUGAGCCAUUUCUCCAGCCCCCAUAAUUCUAUUUCUAAAGUGUCCUUUUCUUUCGAAAUAUACUUACAUAAAGUGUGGCCUUAACCAAAAAUUUUAAAUCUUGUUCUUCAGCAUUAGUUAUAUUCAAUUACUAUUGUCUUACAUUCAUGAUGUUCUAUCGUUAUUCUUCUGUUAUUCUUCUCUCAUUCAUUACAUCUCAAUUCCCUCCACCAAUUCCAUGCAGCUCUCCCAAUUAUCUCUCCUCUCACCCAGAUCCACACCUUUUCCCAUUAUGUUCAAAAGAGAGAGGGGGAGGAAAGGGACAGGGUAUAGGGAAAGGGGAAAGGGAAAGGGUGAGAGAGGUUACACAAGGAUGUGUCAACCAAACACCAUAAGUUAGCAUCAAAAGUUACGGUAAGACAAAACUGCUUAUUAAGACUGGCCGAAGAAACCAUCAGAGAUUUAAUUACUUCUGGAUGAAGUAAUUGAAAGUAUGCAUUAGGAUGGAUGGUAUAUUUACUUGUUAAAAAUUAUUUUUAAAACUCAUUUGUAAAUUAUUCUGAUGAGUGGAUUUAGAACCACAGCAAUUCGUAAAAGAUGCUGUCUAGAAAAUCCGACUGAUAUAAAACCACAUUAAAGCUGAGAAAGUCCUUUUCCUUUCUGUAUCCUCAACAACAGCAUGUAUCCGAUUGCAGCAAACUGAUCCAGUAAAUAGAAGGUCUACAGGAAAUGAGUUAUAAAAGCGCUGCGCAGUGUGUUGCCCCUCUCUUUCAGACCCUGGCUUCUGGCAAGAGAAAAUAUGGUGAAACUACAAAGACCAGAAAUCCUUUCGGUUUUCAACUUCCCUUGGAGCCAAGCCUGGGAGUGACACCCACUUCAUUCAAUUCCUGUGGUCGUGGGAACACUGGAAAGUGGUUUGUUUUCCCUUUUGUUACAUUCAGGAUUUCUUUGAUUGAAUCUUGUCUUCGCAAUAAUUACUGAUAAUACAAGUCUCGCCUUUAUUUUUUCCGUUAAUCUUGGAAUGCGGCUAAAAGAAGGAAGUGAACGAUUCAGAAUUAAUUGAGGGAUUACAGAAGUCACGAUUCAAUUCAAGACAUCGGGUCGAACACUACAAUCUUUGAAACAUUUGCAGUCGAGAAUUGGAGGGCAGUUAAUAAAUAUGCAAUUUCAUUCUUUUAUCUGCGGCCAUUCCCAUUGAUCAGAAUCAUUUAUUAAAAUUUUUAAAUUUUAUUAAACUAACAGAUAUCACUGUGGGAUUAUAUUGGCUACAUUUCUAAGGAAAAGUGACCCUCGUGCAUCAGGCAGUCAUCAGUGCUAAGGGAGCCCAGCUUUAUAAACUACAGUUGAAUUUGUUUCUGAAUGGGCGGGGAAGGAUUUCAUCUGGAAGCAAUGGGAAGAAAAGGGACUAAAUUUUUCAAAGAAGAAAAAGUAGAUGAAAGUUACCAUGUUGUGACCUGUAAUUUCACAUUGGGAGAGAUAAACGUGGAGUACUUCUCUGAGGACACUUUGGAUUACACUAAUUAGAAGGAACCUUAGGCUGCAGUUUGUGAAUGAAGUAGAGAGUUGGACAUUCUAUCUUUGUGAAUAAUUGAUGGAAUUUUGAUGGGGAAUUGCACUGGAACUGCAGAUCGCUUUUGUAAACUAUAGAAGCGGAUGUCUGUACCAAAGAUGAAAGAUGAGUGGCUGCAAUUCUAAGGAAAAGUGACCCUUGCUCAUCAGGCAGUCAUCAGUGCUAAGGGAGCCCAGUUAUGUGACUUAACAAUAGAUGAGUACACAUUUGGAGUGAACUUGGAGUUUCUGGUGGUUAUUCAUUUGUGUAAUGAUCAACACUAAAUGCAACAUUAAUUACAUGUAAACAAACACUAAGAAUGGCAAAAACUACUGGAUAUAAUAAAAAAUGUACUUGUGUGUGUGUGUGAAACUGACCAUUUAGAAUAGCAUCAAAUGAUUUUAUUCUGGGACCUAAAAGUUCCCUCCGCAUGCAUUUAUUUAUGUUUGCAGUUCCAGGACUGAUUCCUCACUCUUUGAAGAAAGCCUCAACUGCAAUAAAGAAAGUGGUUGUUUAGGCCUAUAAACAGUCUCACUGCUAUUUCACCUUUUGCCUCACAUGUUAUUAUUGUAGAUUGCAAUGUCCUUCAAUAGCUAAAAAUCAUCAUGUCUUGCUAGCAAUUGAAUAGUACUCUAUAUUAGUAUUCAAUGUGGCUAACAGAAAUUAUUUUCUAGUUAGUUAAAGCUUGAUUUUUUUAUGUCCAGCAGACGAAAUAUGUGAUAGCUUCAACAAUGUCAUCAUAUUUUAAGAGGAAGAGGAAAGAAUUCUACUAGCCUAUUAUUUGUAUAUGCUUUUUUGGUUACUAUGAGCAAUAAAUCCUACGGAAGUAAUCUUUAUCUUUCAAUGACAUUUGUAUUUAUUAAGACAUAUAAUUUUGCUCUUCACUCUCUGAUUCAUUACAUCAGGUGUAAUUCUUUGUUCUUCUGAAAGUAUCCACAAAACUCUAUGUAAUCUUGAUUUCUUAUAAGUCUAACAUUUAGAUUGCAGAAUUGUCACAAAUGAUACUUAGUACAGUAGUAAAAGAAAUAUUUUCCUUGGGGUAUAAAAGUGUCUAUUUCAUCUUAAAAGUUUGAAGUCACACACUAUCGUGGAGUGAAAACAAGACAUUAACUCAAGGCAGGGAAUGGAAGCAGGGACUUAGGCAGAAGCCAUGCUACUGCUUACAAGUUUGCUCCCUGUGGGUAGUUCAGAAUGAUGCCUUAUACACACCAAUAAACCCUAACCAGGUACAGGGCUGGGUCCUCUCAUAUCAAUCAACAAUUAUGAAAAUGACCUACAGAUUUUUAAUCAAGUUACUGGUAGACACAGUUCAACUGAUGUUCUCUAAUUACAGAAAACUCAACUUGAGUAAAGUUGAGAAAAAUCCAGAAUAAAAUGCACAUAUAAAGUAUCAAACACAUAUUUUAUAUAUUACAGAAUGUAUGUACGUAAUUAUUAUACAUAUUUGACCAGUGGAUAAGAAUUCAAAGUCCAGAAAGAAAGCACAAUUCAAUGAGCAGUUGAUUUUAUACACACAUAAAACAUGACAGU
rnacentral:sRNA from 1 species